rnacentral:rRNA from 1 species
UAAAGACCUAACAAUAUGCCGGUUAAUACAAUCUACUGAUUAAAAUCCAAAGAAUUUGGCGGUAUCUUAAAUAAUCAGGGGAACCUGUGCCUUAAAUUGAUAAUCCACGCAAUUCAAUCUUCAUCUCGAAUUUCAGCCUGUGUACUGCUGUCGCCAGUAAACCUCUAAAAGACAGUUUACAACUAUACCCAAAUAAAUACGUCAAGUCAAAGUGCAGCCUAUGAUGCUAGAGAGCCAUGGGUUACAAUUUACAUACAACUACGGAUUAUUAAAAUAAAAAUAAUAUGAAAUUGAACUUGACAGUAAUAUUUAUAAGACACUAAUAUAAACAAGAACCUAAGAUAUGCACACAUCGCCCGUCACUCUCAUCCAAUGUG